rnacentral:rRNA from 1 species
UCCGGUUGAUCCCGCCGGAUCCUACUGCUAUCGGGAUGAGACUAAAACAUGCUAGUUGUGCGCACCCUAGCUAUGUUGGGAGCGCAGCGCACGGCUCUGUAACACGUAGUCAAUCUAACCUUAGGAUGGGAAUAACCCCGGGAAACUGGGGCUAAUACCUAAUAGGCGAAAAAGUCUGGAAUGACUCUUCACUCAAAGAGUUAUAGGAACAUGCUCCUUUAACUGCCUAAGGAUGAGACUGCGACCGAUCAGGUUGUUGGUGGGGUGAUGGCCUACCAAGCCUAUAACCGGUACGGGCCCUGAGAGGGGGAGCCCGGAGAUGGGAACUGAGACAAGGUCCCAGACCCUAAGGGGUGCAGCAGUUGCGAAACCUCUACAAUGCACGAAAGUGUGAUAGGGUUAUCCCGAGUGCCGUCCGAUGAGGAUGGCUUUUCCCUGGUGUAAGGAGCCAGGAGAAUAAAGGGGGGGCAAGACUGGUGUCAGCCGCCGCGGUAAUACCAGCCCCCUGAGUGGUAGGGAUGAUUAUUUGGCCUAAAGCGUCCGUAGCCGGCUUAGCAAGUCUUUCGUUAAAUCCGGUGACUUAAUCAUCGGGCUGCGAGAGAUACUACUAGGCUUGAGGGCGGGAGAGGUCGACGGUAUUCCGGGGGUAGGGGUAAAAUCCUAUAAUCCUUGGAGGACCACCAGUGGCGAAGGCGGUCGACUAGAACGUGCCUGACGGUGAUGGACGAAAGCUGGGGGAGCAAACCGGAUUAGACACCCGGGUAGUCCCAGCCGUAAACGAUGCGGGCUAGGUGUUGGAGCAGCUACGAGCUGCUCCAGUGCCGCAGAGAAGUCAUUAAGCCCGCCGCCUGGGAAGUACGGUCGCAAGACUGAAACUUAAAGGAAUUGGCGGGGGAGCACCACAAGGGGUGAAGCCUGCGGUUCAAUUGGAUUCAACGCCGGGA